UGAUAAAAAAAUAUUUUUGAAUGAUACGAGUAAUAAUCCUUAAAAUUAACUCAGUAUCGUGUCGUGUGUCUUCACUGUGCACAAAUCAAACGAAAAAAACGCGUGUGUUUUGGUUUUUCCAAAUUGUGAAAACUCCCGUUUUUUAAUAAUAUAUAUCAGCUUGAAUGACUUAACAUCCAAGGUGCAUGGCAAACUGUGAACCUUGCGUGUGCAGAUGCUCCGAAAGCAAACCACAGCAACUGGCAAUUUCUUUUAUUAUUGGAACCCAGAUACGAUUCCCCAAGAUCCACCGGAACUGAAACCAGGGCUCCUUCUACGGCUAGCGGAAGACGCUGGCCAGUUCGAUACACAUCAUGCAGACCAAAGCUGGAACAGCGCUGAUGCGAAAACCAAGAAUGUUUGUGGUUACACAGAAAAUUUCGAUCAAAUUAACACCGGAAUCCGGAUUCAACCUGUAUCCGGCAUGCUCGAACAGCGCCGGAGUUUGUGACGAAAAAUUUGGCAACUGCGGGCCGCUGCUGAUUUGUCGACCAAAACUAAAAUUUCAGAAAACCGCUACCACCAAAUACCUCACAAGCCAUGGAAACUUCUGGUAAUACGAUGUGGCCUGCGGCAAGGCCGGCCGAUUACGUGAAAAUCGAUUCCACGGUUCCUGGGAAAGACAGGUGAGGAUAUAGGUGGCGAGGUAGCCGUAGGCUUAGAAAAUAGCUGUUCCUGUGCCAAAACGAGCUCGGAACCGAGAGGUUCUGAACCUGUCGAAGUAGUGAAACUUGCAUUUCAUCACUCCAGUAUUAGGCGGCUCGAAUGGAUUUAAAUGUAUCCCAAAAUUGUUAAGCCAUAGAUUUAACAGGAUUCGAAAGUCAGUACAAGUUUAAAUUCGACAUAGACUGGAUCAACACAUCAUGAUACAUCGCAUGCGAUAAUGAUAAGUACAGAUAACAAUCGUAUGGGUGCUAAAACAAUCGGAUAUGAAACCACACCGCUCAUACUUAUAAGCAAGACCUCCUGCUUAUCAACUUGUGCCCUCACUUAAUUGAUAGGAGGACAAAUACCUGCACGAGAGCUGCUUUUUGUCAUUGAGGUUUGACACCAGUAGCAAGUUGGUUGUCUUCACCGGAAAGGACAAUCUGUUGAAUACCUGGCACACACCCAACGCUGCGAAUAUAUUCCAGUCUAAGUUUCAUCUCUACUUGUGUACUGAGUUGUUAAAUCUCAACUGAUGAUAAGUUCAUCAUUACCGAUACCGGGCACAAAAAACCCACCGAUUAUAAAGUCAUGUACUUAGGCAAUCCUGCAGUAAGGUAUUCUACCAUUUAUCAAUCCAGCUAGUUUGUCGGUUUGCAUUGGAAUCAAGAAGGAGGAAUUUUGUGCAAACCAUCAAAAUGUUAUCGGCAAUUGAAGCUAACUGUCACUUUGAGAGAGAGGAGGAAAAAUAGAGUGUAGAAUUGGAAAUCGUAUGCCCUUAGAUCGAGAUCAUUUCACAGAAUCCAUUCGCAACAAAUAUCUCUUAACUAUAUAGAAUUUCUUUGAGUUUAAAGGUAAAUCCGAUGUCGAAUACUUAUGGUCAGCAGUGUAAGUGUUUAAAAUCAGCAGAAAAACAGCGUAAAAGCAGAGAGUACAGUAGCAUAUUUCAAAAUUCUUUAUAAAAAUUCAUUGACAAAAUGUAUAAUGAUUUCUUAAUAUCAUAUUUUGAACUAGAAAACCUCAGUAUCAGAAAUCAGAUUUUCGGAAACCAUAUUACAUAAGAAUUAAGAAUGCCAAACCAAAACAUUUUAAGGAUUAAAAAUUUCAAAAUCCAACUUUGAUCUCACAUGAAAAAUCAAAUUUAAUGUUUAUUGUUUUUCGUAUUGGAAUCUAACAAUGAAUCAGAUCCUCUUUAAAAUGUGUAAACUGUCAGAUUUUUUUUUUUUUAAGGAAAAACGAACACAAACACAUGCAGGAUCUCAAUGAAACUUGAUGUUUCCUCGAAGAGAUUCCCUUUUCUUAAUUCUAAGCGUACAUCUUUCGAGGAUACGAUGGCUAGCAUCUUACAAAUGCUAAAAC